CAGCAGUGGAUGUCUAGGCUCGCACAUCGAUGAAGAACGCUGCGAACUGCGAUACGUAAUGCGAAUUGCAGGAUUCAGUGAGUCAUCGAAAUUUUGAACGCAUAUUGCACUUUCGGGUUUUGCCUGGAAGUAUGUCUGUAUCAGUGUCCGUACACUAAACUUGCCUUUCUUGCGUCGUGUAGUCGUCGCUUGGAAUGCGCAGAUGUGAGGUGUCUUGCGGAGUUGUUCUGUCUGUUUCGGACAGGGUAGACGCGCAAGUCCCUUUAAAGUGUGACGUGUUUCUCUGUAGUGCGCUGUGGCAGCUUUUGGUGGCGUGCGGGACGUAGUCUGUGGACGAGUCUGGCGACCUUUGGCGCUUGCAUUGUGGGGAUUCCUUAAUUGGCGGUAUGUUCGGCUUCGGCUUUGACAAUGCAGCUUAUUUUGGUUUCUC
rnacentral:rRNA from 1 species